GACAGAGGCCUCGAGCGUUAGGCGGAAUCACUGGGCUUAAAGCGUGUGUAGGCGGAUCGUUAAGUACCUUGUGAAAUCCCACGGCUCAACCGUGGAACGGCUGGGUAUACUGGCGGUCUUGGGCCAUUCAGGGGCGACUGGAACAAGCGGUGGAGCGGUGAAAUGCGUAGAUAUCUGGAGGAACACCGGUGGCGAAGGCGGCAUCCUGGACCGACAUUGACGCUGAGGCGCGAAAGCCAGGGGAGCAAACGGG
rnacentral:rRNA from 1 species